rnacentral:rRNA from 1 species
CCCUUAGAUGUCCGGGGCUGCACGCGCGCUACACUGACUGGCUCAGCGUGUGCCUACCCUACGCCGGCAGGCGCGGGUAACCCGUUGAACCCCAUUCGUGAUGGGGAUCGGGGAUUGCAAUUAUUCCCCAUGAACGAGGAAUUCCCAGUAAGUGCGGGUCAUAAGCUUGCGUUGAUUAAGUCCCUGCCCUUUGUACACACCGCCCGUCGCUACUACCGAUUGGAUGGUUUAGUGAGGCCCUCGGAUCGGCCCCGCCGGGGUCGGCCCACGGCCCUGGCGGAGCGCUGAGAAGACGGCCGAACUUGACUAUCUAGAGGAAGUAAAAGUCGUAACA